rnacentral:lncRNA from 1 species
UUCUAUGUAAGAGCAAGCGAGUUCCACAGCGCGGGGAGGCCAGUGGAGAGGAGCGCGGCCUUGCCUGGCUCAUGUCCUGUUUCCAGCUUGCCCUGAAAACGAAUUACUAAAUCCAUGGAGGAAGAGCUUGGGGCCUGCCUGGUCCUCGGCCACAGUGGGGCUGGGGCCUGUGACUGCGUGUGCAGAGGGUCCGCGCCCAGGGCCCGGGAAAGGGGCUGCGCUGCCCCGAGCGAGUCCCCGGGCGCCCCCAGCCUGCUGCAGCCACCUCGGGCUCCACAUUUCGGCCCCUUCUCCUCUCCGCUGCUCUGGGCUCAGCCACCAAGCUCCACGCUGUGGGCAGAAUCCACUGGGGCGCAGGAAACCUCAGCUUCCGCAGCCCACCUGGCCUUCGCAGUCUUCCUCUCCAGGGUUUUAUUUCAACAUGGCCUUUUCUGCUGCGACUCAGCUGUGGUAGGGGCCAAGUUUGGGUGUGUGAGGCCAGGGAGGUGCGUUGUGUUCUCGCGGAAGAGAGAGACGCAGCGAGGGAGCCCGGGCACACGGACCCAGCUCACCAACCGCAGCCAAACCACCAAUUCUGUCCCGUGGCCCUUGGUGACCGGUGACAGGGAGGGAAGGAAACGUGGCCAGCUUCCGCCAGACCACAGGCGAACACAGGUGGGGCGGCCCACUGGCUUGGGCCUAGGAGCUGCAGGAGCAGGGGCCACGGUCCAGCCUGACGCCCCUCUCUUGGGGCAGGAAGUUCCCUCUGUCUGCCGUGAGCAGGGGCACUUGGGAGGGCCCAGCAUAGGACCUCAGGAGCUCCCGGAGCAGCCUCAGCAGCCGCAACCCCUCGACCUUGUCCAGCAUCACGCCCCGGUGCCAGGGAGACAGACCGAAGAAUCCCACCACUGUGCAGGAGAGGAAGCCUACUUUAAUUCUGUUCUUGAAGUAAUGGCAGGUGAAGAUUCGUAUGUCAUAAUUAAUUCCUCACUUCUUAGGAAUCGCAGCGAUUAGCUCUGUCAUUCCUUUGUUAUCAGAGAGAACUGUGAGUCCUGUUAUUCUCACUGCUUCGCCAUCUGUGAGCAUGCGCAGCCCUCGGCUAAGUUUUCUAAAAGGAACAUCACAGCGACUUCCCUGACCUCAGCCAGGACAAAAGCAGGGAGAAGAGGAAUGAAAAGCACAGGAAAACAGGCCAGGGAGUUCAUGGAUGGAAAUGGCAUCACAGGCAACAGCCACUCACGAAGAUGGACGAGGACCCAAGAGAGAACCAGCGCUGCUCUACACCUGCCUGUCAGUUCGUAGUGGAGAGGGGCACUGUCCGCCGAGCCUCCAUCCGUGGAAACGCUCCUCUUCGAGCCCGGCCAUUGCUCUGGCUGGGCCUGGUGAGGAAUGGCCGACAUCACGGACAGUGGCCUUUCCUAGCCCUGACCCUGCAGAGUGCCUCUGGAGCGCAUAGUGCUGGCGGACAGGAAGUCAGCAGAUCGAAGACAGGGUCCUGGCUUCACGGUGGGUGAGCCGUGUGAUGUUUGGGCAAGUCCCUCAUGCUCUGUAAGUCUCUCCACUGAGCUGGGUGUGAACGUGGUGCUCUGUGGCAGUGGCACGUGAUGACUCCUGCAUGGAGUUCUCGUCUCAGCAGGGGCAGUGCCUUGCACCCCGAUUUUCAAGCAGCAACCUGAGAGUCCUGGGAGGCCCGUCUUUUCCCCUCGGUCUUUCUGUUGGCCCCACCACUCACAUAUUUCAGGCCUCACCAAGUCCUGUUAAUCCCAUUUCCAAAAAAUGCCUGGAAGCUUCUACUCCUGGCUCUGCAGCCUCCACCUUUCUCUGAGCUCUGCGGACGCUUCCUCACAUCAGCCCUGGAUGACUCCAGGAGCCUCCAAAGGGAGCCCCUGCUUCCUGUUCCCCUCCCCUGCGACCUGCUGCCCAUGUGCUCCCAAGGGGCUCGUUCCUCCGUGUGGAUGGGAUCGUGUUCCUGCUCCCCUGCCCCACAACCCACUGCCCGUGUGCACCCGAGGGGCACGUUUUUCUGUGUGAGUGGGAUCAUGAGCCUCUUUCCUUGGUAGAUGUUCUCUUUGCGCUGGAAUGAAACCUCAGCUCCCCUGUGACAGGAAGCUCCCCAUGGGCCAGUGCUGGGUUUUGGUCUGUCGGCAUGUGCUCUCCACCCAGAGAAGACUCACAGCUGGCUGCUCCUCUCACCCCUGAGGCUUCACAGUAAACAUCGACUCACAGGAGGGGACCACGUGAUUCCCACCGCGUGUCCUGUUCCCUCCAUGGAGCAUGAGCUUGACCAUGGUACAAAGCACCGCACAGCUGCUUUAACCCUGGGAGAGAAGUGUCUUUAUGAGAUUCUCUGUGUCCCCAGGAAAUGCUGCCUUCUCCUGUGAAGCAGUCAGUGGGCCAGGCCCAGUCCUUAAAGAUGCAGAGAACCCAACAGGCCCCUCUUCUGCUCACAGCUUCACCUUAUGUUAUGCAAAAUCCCCACACCACUAGAGCAUGCUGGCACUGGGUCAUGGGUGCCUGCAUUUCCCGCAAGCUUGUGACUCGGGGUGCGAUACCUCAGCCCGUUUCCAAGCAGCCCCAUGAGAUCAGGGCUUAUUGUGUUUGCUCCAUGUAUCAUGAGGGUGCAUCCUGAGAAGGAGAGACUCGCAGGUGGGUGCAAAUGAUUUGCAGUCACAGAGGAGCCAAGAGCUCCUGACGGGACUAAUGAAAGCAUGCCUCACUUUAGCCCUGGGCCGGGUUCACGCCUCACCUUAGCCCUGGGCCGGGUUCACGCCUCACCUUAGCCCUGGGCCGGGCUGCUGUGUGCCAUGUGCUGUUUCUUCAUCGGGGGGUUUGGGUACAGAAAUACUAAAAAUGAAUCUUG